rnacentral:misc_RNA from 1 species
AAGUCGUAACAAGGUUUCCGUAGGUGAACCUGCGGAAGGAUCAUUAACGAGUUAGGGUCCUCUGGGCCCGACCUCCCACCCUCUGUUGUCGAACGAAUCUGUUGCUUUGGCGGUGCCGCCGCCGGGUCCGCCCGGUGAGCAGCCCGCCGAGGGUCCAAACCACAACUCUUUGACAUCAACCGUGCGGUCUGAGCGAAUUUUUAAAUAAAUCAAAACUUUCAACAACGGAUCUCUUGGUUCUG